GACGUCCUCCUUUAUCCGUGUGUAGCAGCUUGCCGAUAGCGAGGUACUCAGGUCACAGCCUUAAUCCAAGAAGAAACGGAAAAAUGCAGCCACAGUAGUCUGGCGAGGCCUGGUGGGGUGCCUGCGAUGUCCGUGGGGAGUGGCAUGGUCACUGUCAUCAUCCGAGAAGAGCUCAAAGCAGCUAGUGUUCUCAUCAUCAGCAACUGUCUACGGUUGGCCCAAGGAAGAGCCCUUGGCAGAGGGUUUCCAUGAUAAACCAUCAAGGAUGAACAAAGCUCAUCGCUGAGUCCAGCUGCACGACUUGCAGUGCUGGGCCCUAAUUGGAAGAUCACUGCUGGGCUAUGGCUAGGGGCCAACGCCUGAUGUUCCCAAGUCAGGUCAGGGGAAGGGUUAGGAUGAACACCGGCUGCAGGAACUCCACCUCCUUUCAUUCGAUAUUGUCUACUGACUGAAAACAUGGAGGGAAUCUCUACCUGUCGGCAACAUAGAGCGGCUGGAGCUGGGAGAAGGGAGCAUUGCCGCCAGUUCCAGAAUUGAAAUGGUUGAGUGUGAACUGGAGAGGCAGGGUGAGUUGGGCAUUGCAACAGCCAAGUACACAUGACCGCUCAAAUACUACAAGAGUUUGCAAGAGCACUGCCAAGGUGUUGGGUGGUGGAACAGGAAUGCAUCUAGCACUGCUUCCCUAUUGAGCUAGAAUAAUGCUAGUCCCUUAGACUUGCCGAUAUCACCGUUUAUGUUGAAAAGUGUAGCUAUCCUAUUGUGUCGUGCUAGUUUUUUCAAAUAAAAUACAAUGAUGCUGACCGGAGCCAUUAGAUUCAAGCUACAUGUAAUUUGCAGUUAGUUAUUUUUCUUGUGUUUUGUUAUGGAGUUCUUUUCCAUCACAAUAUGCUCACUUGAGUUGCACAGUAAUAUCUAAUCUGUUGCUUGUAUUCUUGCAAAAAGUUGUUUCCUUUUCCCUGUUAAUGUGGACACAAUGCAGAAAACAUCACCAAGUUCUCUAAAUUUUGAGGUAGCUCUCUAGUUGUUGUACUAGCGAUUUAUAUCCAUACUAGCUGAGACCGCUCCCCAAUGGUACAUAUAAUAUGAAAGAGUGUGUAUAAUACGAUAAUGCAUAUUUUUUGUCGGUAAAAACCAUUAGUUCCCGUGCUGAUGAAAACAAUGUAUCUCGUGCAAAAAAUCCUCUGUUAAUAAGUUUAAUUCACCUCUUUGGAAGUAGCACUUCGCAUUUAAUUCACCUCUUUGGAAGUAGCAUUUGGCAGGAAAUCCGCACAUUUAGUUACCAUUGCGAACAACCACAGUGAGAUUCAGAACGAUGGAUGGAAACAGCUAUUAGAUAAAACAAGUAAUCAGCGGAGAAAUUUAAGAUUCAUCCAUUUGGGUCUACUGAGAUUCAGAACUUUGUAGGUUGCCACGAUUAUAUGCUAGAUGUGAACUUUGGACUAUCAACGUUGCUUCAUUAUUCAUUGUUGGAUCACGAACAUGUGGCACUUAGAUAUUGCCUUUCUUUGGCUAUAGCACUGUCUUUGGAUAGCUACUGGAGUUUAAUGGUUAUAUUAUGUCAUCUCAUUUUCUUACCUGUCUAGAUGGCUACAUACGUAAUAACAACUACUGCAUUGCACUUUCUAUUUUUGGGCACUACUAUAUGUCCCUAUUCUCACCUGACAAUACCUUUGUCCAAGGCUCUGUCAAUGCUCAUGAGUGGUACUAGCCUGACAACUUUUUUUACUUCAUCAGCGUAUUGUCAACCUUUGGUUUGGUAUUGUCUACUGUGUGUGUUGCAAGUACAUUGGAGUUGAGUAGUUGGCUGAAAUGUGCAAGUUCAUAGUUUGUACAACAUGUGUGCCUCGAACUACAUGCCUGGCGUUCAGUUCAGUGUUUUGUUUUGGUUGCCUGAUGUGUGAUCUUCUUUCUCUUUUGGUGAAUUGGGUUGUUGCAUUGAGAAUAUCUUAUGAUCUUACAGAUUUGUGCUUUAGACCAGAUCCAACAUGAUUGCAGAAUCCAUGGCCAUGAUAAGUAUUCAUUCUAUACUGAUGCAGGGAGUAGAAUGCACAUAUAUGUUUGAGUAACAAGAAUGUGAUUUUAAGGAUUUGCGUAGUUGCAGUUCAUUUAUUCUGAAUGUGUGCUUGUUGAGGGAAUCUAGUACUUUUAAGAAUACAAAUUCACGCUUUGGAUUAGUCCCUGUAUGAUUGUUGAUUUACCUGCCAUCAUAAACAUUCAGUCUGCAUUCACUAAGAGUAUCUUGACCAUAUGUAUGUUUGCAUUUGCCAGAAGAAUGUGCUCUAAAGAAGUUGGUAAUUUACAAUAGCUUUUUUGGGCCGUAUUAUAGACUUUUAAUUGGUUUUCCUAGAAACUGCUUGGAACUAUGUAGUAAGCAUCGUUGUUCUUGUGGUGGCAAGGAACCUCUACCUAGAGCUGGGAGAAGUGAGGAGCGCCGCUGGUUCAAUAAUGGAUAUGGUUGACUGACCUGGAGAGGCAUGGAGAGGCAGGGUGAGGCGGGCAUUACGGCAGCCAAGUACGUAACAAUGGACGCUCAAAUAUUACGAGUUUGCGAGAGCACUGCUGUGGUGCCCUCCGUCUGCUCCGGCAGCUACUGCUGUCACUGGCGUCCUGCAUUCUCUUUUGUUUGCUUCGAGAUGCAUUUUAUAACUGAAGGAGAGGAUUGCCCGAGGAGGAUAUCCUACACAGCUGCAUAAAUCGCCAGAUGGAGCCACACUAGGAGCCCUAGGGUUGAUGAGUUGCCGCAAGAAGACAUUGAUCCCAUGCAAGAGGAUUUGCUGAACGAAAUCUACCAAAACACAGCUGAUGUAAAAUGAUGUGCCACUGGAGCCCACCACCAGUCUCAGCGCACCCAUACACUAGCAGUGGUAUUGGACGGUGCCCCUCCCGGCAACCCCUGAUUAGCAUCGGCUACAAUCCAUCUCAGCUGCUAGAGAACGCCAAGCUUGCUUGGCAUGGUGUUGGUCAUCGAUAUGACCCUGGUCCAGGAAUCCAACAGCAGACGGCACGCGGCGUCGUCGAUAAGCAAGGAUGUCUGGUGUUUAGGCAUGUAGAUAAGCUGACUGGUUUGCUCAGAUUCACUGACCUCCUCGAUGGGGCAAUUAUGCACUUGGCAGUUGGCUGCCGCCGUCGGCGGUGUAGCUGGUGGUCUUGCGGCGGCAACAAAUUGUUGACUUAGUUUUUUGACAGGGAAAGUCACUGACUUGAUACAUGUUUUCUCUGUUGUGAUGUGUAGCUGCAUGCUGCACUGUUUUGUAGUUGUUGAAAGUUGAGAGCAUGAGCUAGCUCCAUGUGUGAGGAGUCUGUUGACAGGGGAACUAGCUGUGAGUUGUCUCCUUUUUGUCGGUGACACGUAGCUCCAUGCUGCACUCUUUUGUUGCCAUUUGUUACUUGAGAACCUGGGCUGGCUAUAUCUAUGUGGCGAUUUGUGUGUU